UACGUAGGGGGCAAGCGUUAUCCGGAUUUACUGGGUGUAAAGGGAGCGUAGACGGCCAGACAAGUCUGAAGUGAAAAUCCAGCGCUUAACGUUGGAAGUGCUUUGGAAACUGCCGGGCUGGAGUGCAGGAGGGGCAGGCGGAAUUCCUAGUGUAGCGGUGAAAUGCGUAGAUAUUAGGAAGAACACCAGUGGCGAAGGCGGCUUUCUGGACUGAAACUGACGCUGAGGCACGAAAGCGUGGGGAGCGAACAGG
rnacentral:rRNA from 1 species